rfam:Ovis aries breed Texel chromosome 9, whole genome shotgun sequence.
UCCCUGGUGGCUCAGUGGUAAAGAAUCUGCCUGUAAUGCAGGAGAUGUAGGUUUGAUCCCUGCUUUGGGAA